rnacentral:rRNA from 1 species
AUUGAACGCUGGCGGCACGCCUAACACAUGCAAGUCGAGCGGCAGCGCGAUAUGUAGCAAUACAUAUUGGCGGCGAGCGGCGGACGGGUGAGGAACACGUAGGAACCUACCCUCGAGUGGGGGAUAACCAAGGGAAACUUUGGCUAAUACCGCAUGAUUUCAAGAGAGCAAAGCUGCCGCAAGGUGGCGCUCGAGGAGGGGCCUGCGUCCGAUUAGCUAGUUGGUGAGGUAAGAGCUCACCAAGGCGAUGAUCGGUAACUGGUCUGAGAGGACGACCAGUCACACUGGGACUGAGACACGGCCCAGAAUCCUACGGGAGGCAGCAGUGGGGAAUAUUGGACAAUGGGGGCAACCCUGAUCCAGCGAUGCCGCGUGAGUGAAGAAGGCCUUCGGGUCGUAAAGCUCUUUAGGUUGGGAAGAAGAGUGAUGGAGGAAAUGCUAUCACUUUGACGGUACCGACAGAAUAAGCACCGGCAAACUCUGUGCCAGCCGCCGCGGUAACAC